rnacentral:rRNA from 1 species
AUUGAACGCUGGCGGCAUGCUUUACACAUGCAAGUCGAACGGUAACAGGCCGCAAGGUGCUGACGAGUGGCGAACGGGUGAGUAAUGCAUCGGAACGUGCCCAGUCGUGGGGGAUAACGCAGCGAAAGCUGUGCUAAUACCGCAUACGAUCUGUGGAUGAAAGCGGGGGACCGUAAGGCCUCGCGCGAUUGGAGCGGCCGAUGUCAGAUUAGGUAGUUGGUGGGGUAAAGGCUCACCAAGCCGACGAUCUGUAGCUGGUCUGAGAGGACGACCAGCCACACUGGGACUGAGACACGGCCCAGACUCCUACGGGAGGCAGCAGUGGGGAAUUUUGGACAAUGGGCGCAAGCCUGAUCCAGCAACGCCGCGUGCAGGAAGAAGGCCUUCGGGUUGUAAACUGCUUUUGUACGGAGCGAAAAGGCUCUCUCUAAUACAGGGGGCUCAUGACGGUACCGUAAGAAUAAGCACCGGCUAACUACGUGCCAGCCGCCGCUGUAACAC